AGUGAACGCUGGCGGUAGGCCUAACACAUGCAAGUCGAACGGCAGCACAGUAAGAGCUUGCUCUUACGGGUGGCGAGUGGCGGACGGGUGAGGAAUACAUCGGAAUCUACUUUUUCGUGGGGGAUAACGUAGGGAAACUUACGCUAAUACCGCAUACGACCUACGGGUGAAAGCAGGGGAUCUUCGGACCUUGCGCGAUUGAAUGAGCCGAUGUCGGAUUAGCUAGUUGGCGGGGUAAAGGCCCACCAAGGCGACGAUCCGUAGCUGGUCUGAGAGGAUGAUCAGCCACACUGGAACUGAGACACGGUCCAGACUCCUACGGGAGGCAGCAGUGGGGAAUAUUGGACAAUGGGCGCAAGCCUGAUCCAGCCAUACCGCGUGGGUGAAGAAGGCCUUCGGGUUGUAAAGCCCUUUUGUUGGGAAAGAAAAGCAGAAGGUUAAUACCCCGCCGUUCUGACGGUACCCAAAGAAUAAGCACCGGCUAACUUCGUG
rnacentral:rRNA from 1 species